rnacentral:lncRNA from 1 species
GGGUGAGUCUGAUUUAGGGGCUUAUAACCCUUUGAAAUUCCUUGAGUGAUCUGCUCCCACCUACCACAAGUGGUCAUGUAACAAGCAUAAAGGUGUUUUUCCUACCUUUUGAAACUUGGAAUUUAAUUUGUUGUUUUAGAGGGAAAUUGGUGUUUUAUUGUUUAUCAUCGCUUGUUUAACAAUGUUAUCAUAAGAUAAUUAAUAAUGAAUCACCCUACACUUGUUUACACUUUUCUUACGGAUUUAAAAUGAGUAAAAAGAGCUGCUGAUAAUGCACAAGGGAAAAUAGAAUUUAAUACGUUACUUUUGCAUACAGAAUAACUUUAUGAAGCUGAUUAUACACAGUGGACCAGAGUCAUGAAUGGAAAUCCAAGCCUUGCUGAAAUCUCUGGGCUCACCUCAAGCACAGAGCGGACCCUGAAUACAGGUACAAGAGGAGGUGAGGCAGCAAUCCCGAUGGCCAUGGCAGCAGCACUCCCUUAUUGGCAGCAUGUUGGCAAAAUGGGCUGUGCAGCAAUUUCCUACUUCAGCAAGGCUGGGUUUAAGUUGGUCUUUGUGGUCUCUGCACUUUCUUUCUCCGCAUACAGAAUUACAAACAGGCAGAUUAUUUUUAAUGAAGUUUGGAUACCAUUUCAGCUUCAGGCUGAAGCGUUUCACACACUGCUUAAACCUUUAGCACUUCAAAGGGGACGAAUAUUGUCUCUGUCAAGGUGCACAGCAGCCAAAUGCACACUGUGCCUUAAUGCUGUUAAUGACAGUGCUUCAGCAAUGCUCCCGGCAGUCUGGGUCCCUGCUGUACACCGCACAGCUUUUCCUUUCACCAGCUUAGGGUUCAGCUUUCACACCUCCCUCUGCUUUAUGCCUGCCUUUUGUUUUGCAGUUUACAUUUCUCUGGGCACGCAGCGCAGCAGCCUCCUUAACGCAGGCACUCAGUGGGUUUGUGCACGUUCGGGGCUGCCUGCCAGGAGCUCCGAGCAGCACCAAACCUUUCUGCACGCCCAGGGCUAGCAGCAGGGAAGGAUCAAUCCUUUGGGGUCUCCAUGUCCUGAAGCCGUGCCACCCGCACAGCCAUGCCUUUGUUCCAUGUGCAACGAUAACAGCGUCUGUUCUGUGAUGAUCGCGCUCCGCAGCCUUAUCUUUAGUGCUCCGGCAUCUGUUUGCCCUACAUAAUGGGUGAAUCCUCUCUACUUUCACCUAUUUUCCCAGAAAUCACGACCGUCAGACGCAGUGAGUUCGCAUUACACAAAACCGCACGCUGCCAGGGAAACAUGAGGAGUCGUCCUUUAAAAAUAAUUUUUAAUGCCGCAUGACUCACAUAACCGUCCUUAAUCACCAGAAAAGCGCAAAUGGCCACCGAGUCCCUCGGAGUUAUUUCGAGCACGCCAGACACGCGG